UACGAAGGGUGCAAACGUUGCUCGGAAUUACUGGGCGUAAAGCGCACGUAGGCGGUCUUUUAAGUCGGGGGUGAAAUCCUGGAGCUCAACUCCAGAACUGCCUUCGAUACUGGAAGACUUGAGUCCGGGAGAGGUGAGUGGAACUGCGAGUGUAGAGGUGAAAUUCGUAGAUAUUCGCAAGAACACCAGUGGCGAAGGCGGACUCACUGGCCCGGUACUGACGCUGAGGUGCGAAAGCG
rnacentral:rRNA from 1 species